GCUGGGUGUCGUGAUGGGCACCUGUAGUCCCAGCUACUUGGGAAGCUGAGGCAAGAGGAUCACUUGAGUCCAAGAGUUUGAGGUUGCUGUGAGCUUUGAUGUCCCAGCACUCUAGCCUGGGCAACAGGGUGAGACUCUGUCUCAA
rnacentral:SRP_RNA from 1 species